UGUGCUUGAUGCUGUCUUCAUGAUAGU
rnacentral:piRNA from 1 species